UGUAAGUAGAGAUCAUUAGUGGUGAGAAGGCUGGCACUGAAUUGGGGAGCUCAGGAGAGUGUGUGAAACUGAAGCUGGUGGAAACGGCAGCUGCUAGGAUCAAAUGUGGCCCCUGCAGAGCCCUAACUAGGUGCCAAGGCUCUGAAGCAAUCCUCUCCUCCCCUGCACAUGCUGCUUAAUGCGCUGAGCUCACACUUGCAAGGUUGCCAGCUUUGAAAGGAAGAUCCAGCCAGCCUAGAAACUAUUCAAGCAAGUGCCUCAGAUUGGGCUGCCUUCAGGAAGUUUACAUGCAGGGACCACCUCCCCCCACCCAAAAGAAGUGCAAACAUAGUGAAGCUGCAUUCCAAAACGAGACUGCAGGAAGACUUCCUGAGGUUCCAUGCAAAAACUAACAGGAGGCCAGAAGAGACAUGGAGCAGCCACUUGGGAUUGAACAGGGUCUGGUGGUGAUAAAAGGGCAGGGGCUGGGCUUCCUAGACGAGAGCCUUGCAACAUGCUCAGUGGAGGAACAGAGCAAGAGGA